UACGUAGGUGGCAAGCGUUGUCCGGAUUUAUUGGGUUUAAAGGGUGCGUAGGCGGUUUCAUAAGUCAGUGGUGAAAUACAGCAGCUCAACUGUCGAGGUGCCAUUGAUACUGUGAGACUUGAGUACAGACGAGGUAGGCGGAAUUGACGGUGUAGCGGUGAAAUGCUUAGAUAUCGUCAAGAACACCGAUAGCGAAGGCAGCUUACUAGGCUGUAACUGACGCUGAGGCACGAAAGUGUGGGGAUCAAACAGG
rnacentral:rRNA from 1 species